rnacentral:rRNA from 1 species
GGUAGAGGAGCGUUCCUUUAUGGGAUGAAGGGUAACCGUAAGGAUACCUGGACUAAAAGGAAGUGAGAAUGCCGGCAUUAGUAACGAUAAGGAGAGUGAGAAUCUCUCCCGCCGAAAACCUAAGGUUUCCUGGGGAAGGUAAAUCCGCCCAGGGUUAGUCGGAACCUAAGCCGAGGCCGAAAGGCGUAGGUGAUGGACAACCGGUCAACAUUCCGGUACUACCAGAUUAUCGCUUUAAGUGAUGGGGGGACGCAGGAAGGUAGGUCAGCACGAUAAAAGUUACGUGUCCAAGCCUGAUAUGGGAGAAGAUAGGAAAAUCCGUCUUCUAUUAAAACCCUAAGAGGUGAUAGGGAGCUGCUAUGGCAGCGAACUGAUCGAUCCUACACUGCCAAGAAAAGCCUCUAAACAAGAUAACCUGGUAUCCGUACUAAAACCGACACAGGUAGGUAGGUAGAGAAUACCAAGGCGCUCGAGAUAACCCUCGUUAAGGAACUCGGCAAAAUGACUCCGUAACUUCGGGAGAAGGAGUGCCCCGGUAGGGUGAGUUGAUUUACUCAUACAAGCCCGAAGGGGUUGCAAAGAAACGGCCCAAGCGACUGUUUACUAAAAACACAGGUCUCUGCUAAAUCGAAAGAUGAUGUAUAGGGACUGACGCCUGCCCGGUGCUGGAAGGUUAAGGAAGGAGGUUACCCCUCGUAAGAGGGGGAAGCUUCUGACCGAAGCCCCAGUAAACGGCGGCCGUAACUAUAACGGUCCUAA